CAUGUCGGUAUCUUAGUUGGCAACAAAGGAGUAAAGAGGCCAAUUGAGCUGAAAGCUCACUUGGCCCUAUCAUGUAAAUAUAGAUUGAAAUUAUAACAGAUACUCUAAAUAAUGAUUCAGGCAAAAUUUGGUUUAAUAUUGGCUCGGUAAAUUAAUAAAAAAUCAUGGUGGCCAUCUUGGAAUGUCAGUAAAUUGGCAACAAAG
rnacentral:lncRNA from 1 species